rnacentral:rRNA from 1 species
UCGAGCGAGUCUGCCUUGAAGAUCGGAGUGCUUGCACUCUGUGAAACAAGAUACAGGCUAGCGGCGGACGGGUGAGUAACACGUGGGUAACCUGCCCAAGAGAUCGGGAUAACACCUGGAAACAGAUGCUAAUACCGGAUAACAACAGAUGAUGCCUAUCAACUGUUUAAAAGAUGGUUCUGCUAUCACUCUUGGAUGGACCUGCGGUGCAUUAGCUAGUUGGUAGGGUAACGGCCUACCAAGGCGAUGAUGCAUAGCCGAGUUGAGAGACUGAUCGGCCACAUUGGGACUGAGACACGGCCCAAACUCCUACGGGAGGCAGCAGUAGGGAAUCUUCCACAAUGGACGCAAGUCUGAUGGAGCAACGCCGCGUGAGUGAAGAAGGGUUUCGGCUCGUAAAGCUCUGUUGUUGGUGAAGAAGGACAGGGGUAGUAACUGACCUUUGUUUGACGGUAAUCAAUUAGAAAGUCACGGCUAACUACGUGCCAGCAGCCGCGGUAAUACGUAGGUGGCAAGCGUUGUCCGGAUUUAUUGGGCGUAAAGCGAGUGCAGGCGGCUCGAUAAGUCUGAUGUGAAAGCCUUCGGCUCAACCGGAGAAUUGCAUCAGAAACUGUCGAGCUUGAGUACAGAAGAGGAGAGUGGAACUCCAUGUGUAGCGGUGGAAUGCGUAGAUAUAUGGAAGAACACCGGUGGCGAAGGCGGCUCUCUGGUCUGUUACUGACGCUGAGGCUCGAAAGCAUGGGUAGCGAACGGG